GGCGACGAGAGGAGUUACCCCACGUCCGAGGUCAGGGGCAGCGGCCGGGAGGACAUACCCCACGCCCCAAGUCCCAGACCAGGGGCAGCGGGCUGAAGGAGCUACCCCACGCCCCUAAGCCCGAGGCCAGGGGCGGUGGCCGGGAGGACCAACCCCAUGUCCAAGGAGCCGUGGCUGUGCGGGCGCAGGAGGGCCUAGAGGAGCUAUCCCACGUUGAAGGUCAGGAAGGGCGGCGGUGAGGAGAUAACCCCUGGUCCAAGGUAUUCAUUUCCUGUUUCCCAGAGGAGGGAAAUGCAGAGUAUCACGUUUUAAAACAGUUACCCUGGCAAGGGAAGGAAGAGAGAAGAAAAUAGUCUGACUUCUUCGGAUGGAGUUUUUGCCAUGGCCCCACCGGGGAAGCAGAAAGGCAACACUAGCAGGGAAUGGAAUGGAAGGCGCUGUGGCCCUCGAUGGACACAAUACACUGGUCUAUUGUGCGGCGAGCAGAGCAAGCUUGGACUCCAUGAGGAGACAGGACGGGGUCACUAGAGACCCAGCUGAAUGUAUCCUUUUACUUCUGUGCCAGUUCCCCUGAUCCUACUGCUGGAAUUUCUUGGCUCAGAGGACACCCCGUCAAGCAAUGGUCAGGG
ensembl:lncRNA